ACAGUGGUGGCUCAGUGGUAGAGUUCUUGCCUUCCGUGUAGGAGACCCGGGUUUGAUUCCUAGCCAGUGAA
rnacentral:tRNA from 1 species